UGUGGCAACAAAGAAAAGAGUUACUAUAUGACAAAUGCAAAAGUGAUGAUCCACUAACCAUUUGAAACCUUUGAUGCUAAAAUAUAUGUGUAUAUGUUUAUGUUUACUUUUCUUUUUUGGUUAAAUUUAGGAUUUUAUUAAUCAACAAAAUGUCUUAAACAUGAUGGACCAACCCAUCCAAAUACUCCAAACUACUAAGUCUACAAAAAAAAACAAAAAUGGAGCAGCCCAAUUAAUCGACUUGAUCCGAAAAAAAAAAUACACAUAAAUUCAUUAGGGUUUCCAAAUUGGUGCUUAGAGCUAAGCUCCUCUCUUCUCCACCUCCUUCAUCAUGUUCAGCUUUGUCAACUUUCAAUUCCUUCUUCUUCAGCUCUGGGUGCUUAAUACCGUGCCGUGGCUGCAGUGAGAUAAGGAUUAUUCCAGCUUGCAUGAUUGAGAUCUCCAGCAUGCUGUCAGUGCUUUUUGGUGCUAACACUUCAGGUCUAGUCCACUGAAGCUUCCUUCCUUCUUCAACUAUAGUUGGGAUGAAGAUUCUGGAAUGCUUGAACCCGCUGAUAUUUGAAGAGGAACAAGUAGCUCAGUUGCUUGAAUCUUAUCUGACCUCUUGAUCCUCAAUCUACUGAGAUUUCCUUUUUGUUGACAGGUGUAGAUAGGCUAAGUAGCAAAUUCACUUUUUUGUUUACCCUCCCAGGUUGUAAAUAUGAUGUAUGUGAAAAAACUUACUGUUGCCCUUCCAGUCCCCUUAUCCUUUUGUUAGUAAUAGCCUCGGAUGUGGGCAUCGUUGCUUGUCACUGUUAAGUAUCUUUCUACCUGAUCUUGGUAACUAGUUGAAUGUUGUAAAUAUAAACUUUUCAUGC